rnacentral:lncRNA from 10 species
GCAGAUCAAGAGCAUCUCAUCCUCCGGCUGCUGAGUCAUCCUGCUCUGGCAGUUAUUUAAACAGAAGGCUCCAGGAGACAUACAAUCAACACUCCACUCAGACAAUGCCCAGACCUCCAGAAACCAUGUGUCAAGCUCGGAUUGCCUUAGACAGGUGCAAUUUAAGAACAGCUUUCAUCCUCUUUUCUCUCAUAUUGUCACACUAUGUGUUCUGACUUCUGGCUCCUUUCCUCACAAGAAGCUCACCCAGCUGGAACUCUUAUGGGACCUUGGCACCAGAGACCACAAAUUCCUCUUUGAAGUUUUCUAACAGCAACAAUGGUAUUUCUGACUUGGCUUUCUUGUAUUUCUCUCACGUUAACAAAAUUGGUUCAGCAUCUACCAUGGGCUACAUGCUGAGCUACAGGUAAGGUUUGGCUAAAGGAUGAAUAAGAACCCCUCCUUGUCUUCAGGAGUUUGUCUAGCAGAGGAGUCUGUCAUGUAAUCAGGAAACUCCAGUACACAACGUGAUAGCUCUAAGACAGGUAUAUACAAGAUGAUGUUCUGGACCUUAACUGUUUGGGGAGUACUACUGCCUUUGUCUAAAAGCCAUCACCCUUUUUAUAUGCCAUUUGGGAGGAACUGGGGGGACGUGGGAGGCUUCAAAGGGUUAUGGGAGGAUGGACAUUUUAAAAGGGCUUUUCUUUUCUUUUUUUUUUUUUGAGACAGAGUUUCGCUCUGUCGCCCAGGCUGGAGUGCAGUGGCGCGCGAUCUCGGUUCACUGCAAGCUCCACCUCCCGGGUUCACGCCAUUCUCCUGCCUCAGCCUCCUGAGUAGCUGGGACUACAGGCGCCCGCCACCACACCCAGGAAUCCAACUUGCUGUUUGCUAUCACAUGUGCUAUACAUGCUGUUGAUGAAACUGCUAAAGGGGCUGAAUGUGACUGACGUCUUUGGAAGGAUGAGACUUAGCGUGCCUGUACAGUUGUGUCCAAAUGCUGUCCUCAUCUCCCAAUGAAAAGGUAUUGUAAAUAAAGAGAAAGAUCAGAGGCUUAUUUUAAACACUAAAUAUGAGCUAGGAGCUGUCCUAGACACUAUGUAAAAGUUUUAUUUAGUUCUCACUGUAAUGUUGGCCUUAUGUUAGCAUCCCAUUUUUCAGACUGAGGAAAUUAUGGCUCAGAGAGGUUAAGAGACUUAUUGAAGGUCACACAGCUCCACAAACUUUGGUGUAGAUUGAACGUGUACAUGGGUCUAUGUGACUUUGAAUCUUGCAUUCUUUACAUUAUUGGAAUAUUUCACAGAAGGAAAAUGACAUAUUAACAUGGCAAUAAGAUUUCUGGUUCCAGUCUGGUUACUGGUCUUCCAAGAGUGUUAUAGGAUGUAUAGCCUGAGCUCUGAAGCUUUGUUCUGAAGCAUGCUAUCAAUAUGAACAAAUUGGUAUGGAAGGAAGCCACAAAUUAUAUACUAAAAUCUAGUUCAUCAGAGGAAAAUAUAGUUAAAUACAUUUACAUUCCCAGAACUGUUAAUAUUGAAGAAUAAAACACACAGUGGGAAAGAGACGAAGAGAAAAUACGCCUGUUUUUAUGACUUGUUGAUAUCUACAGGGUUUUUCCUUAAGCCUCACAACAAUUUACAGCAUUGCCAGCAGCAUUCAGUACAUUCAGAACAGGAUAAUUUCACCCGCAGCUGAACUAGGGCCAUGCCUGGGACAGACAGAGAAUGGCCUUCCAGCAGACAUGCCAAGAAGCAAGCCAGGGUCAGUGAGUGAAGAGGAGGGCAGGCCCAUUUGAAGCAACACAGUUUAUGAACAAAACCCAUCAGAAGAUGUCAGAAGAUAAGGAUUUUUGUCCUGAUGCUACACUUACCAGCUGUCCCUCAGUGUUCUACUUCUUAAAAAAAGAGAGAUGGAUAAACAGAGGCAACCCGAGGAUAAAGGCCUUGCUCAGUGUCACACAUUUCAGUCACUAAAUAAGACACAAUGGAUGCCAGUAUUCUCAUCCCCUCACAAAUAAAGAGCCUUCAAGCUCUUGCAGUCAACAAGAACUUUUGGAAUGAUUUCACUGCCUGAAAAGGCAGAUACAUAGGUGACACCCACAAAUAGGAAGAAAAUCAACCUGAACCUGAGUGUGUGGGCUCACUGACUCUAAGCAGUAGAGACAGAAGAAAAAGUUUUAGCAAAGAAGGGUUCUGAAAGAAAAUAAAUAUAGCUCGUUAUCAAGUGCUGUUUUUACACAGUAAAACAUGGGCAAAAUUACUCUUCUUUAAGUAGUAAUUCUUAUCUCUUGAUUAAGUCACCUACUCAUUCAUUUAAUAAAUACAUACUGAUUGUUUUCUAUGUGUUGAGCACUCAUCUCUGUAUUGGAAAUAUAAUAAUGACCAAAGUUGACAAUAGUAAUAACAAUAAUAGCUAAUAUAGCAGGCACUAAUAAUUAUUUGUUGAGUAAUAUGUCAAAAUUCAGUGUGAACAGCAUUCUAUUUGGGGCUGCAUCCACUGACUAUAACACAGCUAAUCUAUCUGAAAUGUUCCAGCUUUGGGCCUCUCUAACAGAAGAAGCUGUUGUUGGGCCUGCCUCUAGUUGGCGAUGCAUCCACCAAUGAGAAUGAAUUUAUGAUCGACCACUCUUCCUGUAAAGGCCGCUGGAACUGACAGCAUUGUGAUUUUCUUUUACUGUUAGUUUUAAAUUACUAGAACCAACUCAAUUACUAGAACGAACUUUACUUCUUUGUUUCCUACUUAUCAAAACAGUAAAAACAACAAGUAAAAGAAAUGCCAUCUUAAUAUUGUUUUGAUGACAAAACAGUAUUCCUUUUAGUUGUGCUUCAAAUGGAAUAAGAUGCAAACAGGCUUGGUAUGGUGGCUCACCCCUGUAAUCCCAGCCCUUUGGGAGGCCAAGGUGGAAGGAUUGCUUGAGGCCAUGAGUUUGAGACCAGCCUGCGCAACAUAGCAAGACCGUGUCUCUACAAAAAAUAAAAAAUUAGCUGAGUGUAGUGGUGUGUGCUUGUGGUCCCAGCUACUUUUGAGGCUGAGGAGGGAGAAUCUCUUGAGCCCAGAAGGUCGAAGUUGCAGUGAGCCGUGAUCGUGCCAUUGCUCUCCAGCUUGGACAACAAAGCAAGACCCUAUGUCAAAAAAUAAAUAAAUAAAAGACAUAAACAUAUCUGAGAUUAACUUUCAGUGGUAAAUUUGUUCCAUAUAUGAUUUUUAAGGUUAAAUGCUUUGGAAGCUUUAAAAACCAUUUCAGCCCUUUUAAAUGCCAACUUACACUGAUGAUGCUCUCAGAUGUUAGGAAAUCUUUUGAGCAGAAAAUGGAAGUGGGGGUGUUGAGGCAGGGAGGAGAGUGAUGCAAUAUUCCUUAGUGUCAUCCUGUGAUUUCACAAUUUGUUUUUCAAUCUGUUUGGACUUUCAAAAGGGAAGACUCUCAUAUGUCAACAAGCCCAUGAACUGAAGCUUAAAACACUGGAAACAACAACUGUAGAGUUUCAAGUAUAUGUACAUUUAUGUAUUCAUGUUCCUUGAUGGGAAUGCUGGCUGGUGUGAAUGUUCAAUCUCCUGAGAAAUGUAAAUUUUUCUCUGACAGAUUUAUUAGCUUGCUGUAUCUGAGCACAUGAGCAAAAACAAUGCCUAAUAAGAAAACUUUCUCUCUCCUUCAAAGUCAAACUUGGGAGAAAUGAAGGGAAAUCGAGUUUUCUUUGCUUGACAGUGUUCAACAUUCUUGUAGUCAGUGUGCUCAUGAAGAUUGCAAACUUUUUUUUUUUUUUAGAGCAGCUAGGACUACAGGCGCGCACCACCACACCCAGCUAAUUUGUGUAUUUUUAGUAGAGAUGGGGUUUUAACUAUGUUGGCCAAGCUUGUCUCAAACUCCUGACCUCAAGUGAUCCAUUCGACAGCUCUUUCUUUUUUUUUUUUUUUUUUGAGACAAAGUCUCGCUCUGUCACCCAGGCUGGAGUGCAGUGGUAUGAUCUCAGCUCACUGCAACCUCCGCCUCCUGGGUUCAAGCAAUUCUCAUGCCUUAGCCUCCCGAAU